rnacentral:rRNA from 1 species
UACAGAGACUGCAAGCGUUAUUCGGAUUCACUGGGCGUAAAGGGUGCGCAGGCGGCCGCAUGUGUCAGGUGUGAAAUCCUGGGGCUUAACUCCAGAAUUGCGCCUGAAACUAUGCGGCUAGAGUGCCGGAGAGGAUAGCGGAAUUCACGGUGUAGCAGUGAAAUGCGUAGAUAUCGUGAAGAACACCAGCGGCGAAGGCGGCUAUCUGGAAGGCAACUGACGCUCAGGCACGAAAGCGUGGGGAG